rnacentral:rRNA from 1 species
AACGAACGCUGGCGGCGUGCCUAACACAUGCAAGUCGAACGCGAAAAGCAGUAAUGCUGAGUAGAGUGGCGCACGGGUGAGUAACACGUAACUGACAUGUCCUGAAGACAAGGAUAACCGUUCGAAAGGAUGGCUAAUACUUGGUAAGCCCCCGAGUUAGGACUUGAGGGAAAAGGGUUGGGAUUUUUAGAACCAAUCGCUUUAGGAGUGGGUUGCGGCCCAUCAGCUAGUUGGCGAGGUAAAAGCNCACCAAGGCUAAGACGGGUAGCUGGUCUGAGAGGAUGAUCAGCCACACUGGAACUGAGACACGGUCCAGACUCCUACGGGAGGCAGCAGUGGGGAAUCUUGCGCAAUGGGGGAAACCCUGACGCAGCAACGCCGCGUGGGUGAUGAAGGUCUUCGGAUCGU